UUGCGACUGGAUUGACAAUAUGCUUAGACUGCUGAUACCAUUAAUUAUCAAACAGAUCAUCAAAGAGCAUUGCCCUUAUAUGAAAAUCCAAAUGAGCAGCAUAUGUCGCCUGAGAGUUCUGAAAUGUAUGUUGAGAAAGGAUGGGAUGUAGUAAUAAUUAAACCUAAUGCACUUUUUAUUCUCUGUACUUGUGCCUUCAAUCAAAUAUCACAAAGUGACUUAUCCCGUGGAAUAGCCAAUCCUUUGUGGAAUAUAGAGAUAUCCCUCCAAAAUUUAUCCCC
rnacentral:lncRNA from 1 species